UUUGCCUGGAAUGCCUGGUCAACAUGCUAUUUUUACCAGCGCGAUCUGGUAUAUCGAGUUUGUAAUAUUUGUUCUUUUAUUUAUAUUGUUUUUCAAUUUGUUCCUUUAUAUGGCCGGAUUAAAUUACCUAAAGUAUAACCCUAUGUACGAUUACUCGAAGAAAUACUUGGCUGACGGCACGUGGCUAAUACGUAAUUAACAUAAUACGUCACCUGAAGAAAUGAGUCCGAUGCUGGACCAUGAAAACUGGGAAGUAAAAGUUAAGGAGUAAUGAUACGAGUAAAUAAGGAGAGGCCGAUCUGCUGCGACGAGAGUUGCUGGUGGUUUUGUGCACUGGUGUGUGCGACGAUGGCCGUAAUCAUUGUACUCGUUGGAUGGAUGCUGGCACGUUUUUCGGUAACUGCCAGUUAUCACGGAAGCAGAUUCUUGGUAAAUUUAUUUAUAAUUUUUUUCUUUUACGACAAAUUGCGUUGAACAUUGAAGGUAGCUGCAUGUUAACAAAGAGUUUAAGUCCCUGACAUUUGGGUAAAAUUUACUCAAUUUUAUCGGAAAUAAAAAUGUAAGUAGCAAAAAUUAAUCAUUUGGAUUAAGGAUAUCGCUAAAAUAUACAAGGUUGAUGCUAGGAUAAUUUAUAAAAACUCGCUCGGAUGAUUCUUGGACAAGCAUUAAAACUGGUAUAAAUUCGCGAAAUUCUUAAUAAGCCCGUCCGGACGAUUCCCGAAUAAGCAAGUAGGACAAAUAUGCGAAAACCUUUACGAUGGUAACUAGCCAAUCGAUCGUUCGUCGAUCGAUACUAUGGUGAAAUGAAAAUUAGUAGUAAAAUUUGCUUUUUUAACAGAUUUGUUGUUUGUAAUAUUUUAUUUACUUCUUGUAAAUGAAUCUUUGUUGAUUAUUAUUGUUUACACAGAGGUGUAUUCAUUAUGUUGUAACUUUGCCGCAUCUGUAAAAUAUUUUUCAUAUCUCAUGCUCUGAAAGUGGGUCGUUGUUGUUCUAAAAGGUGCGCAGAAAGUGAUACGUUUAUGCUCUAGCGCAGAAAAGUGGUGUACUCCUCUGCGUCCCCGUCCCACGAACAACUGAGAGUG